rnacentral:rRNA from 1 species
GACGAACCGAGCGAACGUUGUUCGGAAUCACUGGGCUUAAAGGGCGCGUAGGCGGGUGCUCAAGUCCGGGGUGAAAUCCUCCAGCUCAACUGGAGAACUGCCUCGGAUACUGGGUGCCUCGAGUGUGGUAGGGGUGUGCGGAACUAUCGGUGGAGCGGUGAAAUGCGUUGAUAUCGAUAGGAACUCCGGUGGCGAAGGCGGCACACUGGACCACAACUGACGCUGAGGCGCGAAAGCGUGGGGAGCGAACAGG